CUUCAGUGAUGAUCGAUGACGAGUCUGACUAGGCAUCCCCUGUUUCAGGAUGCCUAAUACAGUGGCACGUUUUGUGUCAUUGGAUUCAGGCUCCUGAGCAGAAUGUCUUCUCCUGACGACUUAGAGGCAUUUGUCUGAGAAGA
ensembl:snoRNA SNORD15 Small nucleolar RNA SNORD15